ACCUUAGAGACCCACUAAGUUUGUUCUUGGUAUAAGCUUUCGUGUGCAUGCCAGUAUCUGAAGAAGUGUGCAUACACAUGAAAGCUUAUACCAAGAACAAACUUAGUGGGUCUCUAAGGU